rnacentral:rRNA from 1 species
GCUGUAACGAUGCGCGCUUGGUGUUCAGCGUCACGAGGGUUUGAAGUGCCGAAGGGAAAGUGUUAAACCUGCCGCCUGGGAAGUACGGUCGCAAGGCUGAAACUUAAAGGAAUUGGCGGGGGAGCACCAAAGGGGGGGGAGCUUGCGGUUUAAUUGGAUUCAACGCCGGAAACCUCACCGGGAAGAACGGCGGAUUGAAGGCCAGGUUAAAGACUUUGCUGGAUUACCUAAAAGGAGGUGCAUGGCCGUCCCCAGUUCGUACUGUAAGGCUUCCUGUUAAUUCAUGAAACAACCAAAACCCCCCCCCA